GAGGGUAUAGCCCAGUGGUAAAGUGGGUGCUUAGCAUGCACAAGGUUCUGGGUUCAAUCCCCAGUAACUCCG
rnacentral:tRNA from 1 species